rnacentral:rRNA from 1 species
GACGAACGCUGGCGGCGUGCUUAACACAUGCAAGUCGAACGGUAAGGCCCUUCGGGGUACACGAGUGGCGAACGGGUGAGUAACACGUGGGUGAUCUGCCCUGCACUUCGGGAUAAGCCUGGGAAACUGGGUCUAAUACCGGAUAGGACCCUGGGAUGCAUGUCCUGGGGUGGAAAGCUUUUGCGGUGUGGGAUGGGCCCGCGGCCUAUCGGCCUGUUGGUUGGGUGAUGGCCUACCAAGGCGACGACGGGUAGCCGGCCUGAGAGGGUGACCGGCAAAACUGGGACUGAGAUACGGCCCAGACUCCUACGGGAGGCAGCAGUGGGGAAUAUUGCACAAUGGGCGCAAGCCUGAUGCAGCGACGCCGCGUGAGGGAUGACGGCCUUCGGGUUGUAAACCUCUUUCAGCACCGACGAAGCGCAAGUGACGGUAGGUGCAGAAGAAGGACCGGCCAACUACGUGCCAGCCGCCGCCGUAA